UACAGAGGUCUCAAGCGUUGUUCGGAUUCAUUGGCGUAAAGGGUGCGUAGGCGGCGCGGUAAGUCGGGUGUGAAAUCUCGGAGCUUAACUCCGAAACUGCAUUCGAUACUGCCGUGCUUGAGGACUGGAGAGGAGACUGGAAUUUACGGUGUAGCGGUGAAAUGCGUAGAUAUCGCUUGGAACGCCAAAGGUGAAAACAGGUUGCUGGGGUUGUGCCGACGCUGAGACACGAAAGCCAGGGGAGCAAACGGG
rnacentral:rRNA from 1 species